GUGCCUAACACAUGCAAGUCGAGCGGUAACAGGUGUAGCAAUACAUGCUGACGAGCGGCGAACGGGUGAGUAAUGCUUCGGAAUCUACCCUCUGGUGGGGAAUAACCAGCCGAAAGGUUGGCUAAUACCGCAUACGUCCUACGGGAGAAAGCAGGGGAUCGUAAGACCUUGCGCCGAUGGAUGAGCCGAAGUCGGAUUAGCUAGUUGGUGAGGUAAAAGCUCACCAAGGCGACGAUCCGUAGCUGGUCUGAGAGGACGACCAGCCACACUGGGACUGAGACACGGCCCAG
rnacentral:rRNA from 1 species